GAUGAACGCUGGCGGCGUGCCUAAUACAUGCAAGUCGAGCGAACAGAUGAGGAGCUUGCUCCUCUGACGUUAGCGGCGGACGGGUGAGUAACACGUGGAUAACCUACCUGUAAGACUGGGAUAACUUCGGGAAACCGGAGCUAAUACCGGAUAAUAUAUUGAACCGCAUGGUUCAAUAGUGAAAGACGGUUUUGCUGUCACUUAUAGAUGGAUCCGCGCCGCAUUUGCUAGUUGGUAAGGUAACGGCUUACCAAGGCAACGAUGCGUAGCCGACCUGAGAGGGUGAUCGGCCACACUGGAACUGAGACACGGUCCAGACUCCUACGGGAGGCAGCAGUAGGGAAUCUUCCGCAAUGGGCGAAAGCCUGACGGAGCAACGCCGCGUGAGUGAUGAAGGUCUUCGGAUCGUAAAACUCUGUUAUUAGGGAAGAAAAAGUGUGUAAGUAACUAUGCACGUCUUGACGGUACCUAAUCAGAAAGCCACGGCUAACUACGUG
rnacentral:rRNA from 1 species